GUUGAUUGAGCUACUCUCUGCCGCGAAGACGCUCCUUAACAAAGGAAGUACAAAGGAAUGACCCGUUUUUGGUCUGUAAAAGUUCAGUGUAGGUAAGCUGUUAUUGGCCGGUUGCAGCUUUUGGUUGAGCGGCGGUUGCAUCGACCAAUAUCAAUAGCUCAGGGGUCGAUGCGGAAGGCCAGCAGCUUGUCAGAGUGAAGGCUGUUGAGGGUGCGCAGAUCUGGCAGGCGCAGGAGCAGCUUAGGAAAGAGGGAGCUGUCGUCAGGACGACGACGGGUCACUAAGAAACCAGCACCACAGCCAUAAAAAGUGCCAUCUCAUCCGACUCCAGACCAAGAGAGCACAGCUUCGAACUGAACUCAAACAUGGCAUCUAGCAAGGAGCCCAUGCCCAGUCCCCUGAGAGUCGCCAGUGGGUAAACCAAAAAUGGAGGUCACUUACUGGUGAACGUCCCGGUGAACCCACAAGGCCUUUUGCCAGCGAUGGGAUGGGAGUAGUUGUGCUGGUUUGAGUUUGCUGAGGAG